UACGUAGGGGGCAAGCGUUGUCCGGAUUUAUUGGGCGUAAAGAGCGUGUAGGCGGCUUUACAGGUCCGUUGUGAAAACUCGAGGCUCAACCUCGAGACGCCGGUGGAAACCGUAAGGCUAGAGUCCGGAAGAGGAGAGUGGAAUUCCUGGUGUAGCGGUGAAAUGCGCAGAUAUCAAGAGGAACACCCGUGGCGAAAGCGGCUCUCUGGGACGGUACUGACGCUGAGACGCGAAAGCGUGGGGAGCGAACAGG
rnacentral:rRNA from 1 species